rnacentral:rRNA from 1 species
AGUGAACGCUGGCGGUAGGCCUAACACAUGCAAGUCGAACGGCAGCACAGUAAGAGCUUGCUCUUACGGUUGGCGAGUGGCGGACGGGUGAGGAAUACAUCGGAAUCUACUUUUUCGUGGGUGAUAACGUAGGGAAACUUACGCUAAUACCGCAUACGACCUACGGGUGAAAGCAGAGGAUCUUCGGACCUUGCGCGAUUGAAUUAGCCGAUGUCGGAUUAGCUAGUUGGCGGGGUAAAGGCCCCACCAAGGCGACGAUCCGUAGCUGGUCUGAGAGGAUGAUCAGCCACACUGGAACUGAGACACGGUCCAGACUCCUACGGGAGGCAGCAGUGGGGAAUAUUGGACAAUGGGCGCAAGCCUGAUCCAGCCAUACCGCGUGGGUGAAGAAGGCCUUCGGGUUGUAAAGCCCUUUUGUUGGGAAAGAAAAGCAGCAGGUUAAUACCCCGCUGUUCUGACGGUACCCAAAGAAUAAGCACCGGCUAACUUCGUG